CGGACACAGUGGUGCAUACCAGCAAUCUCAGCACUUUUGGGAGGCUGAGGUGGAAGGAGCACUUGAGCCCAGAAGUUUGAAACCAGCCUGAGCAACAUAGUGAGACCCUGUGUCUUUAAGAAAAAAAUCUUUUAAAUAAAAAAAUGCACAUUUCCAGGCUUCGCCCCCAGACUUAGCAAGAGUCUCUGUGGCAGAGGCCUGGGAAUAUGCACUGUCAGAAGCUCUCCAGGUGAUCCCAAUACAACGACUUCAUGUCCUAGAACUUGAGACCCACUGCCCCGUGCCAAAAUGGAAGUGUUCUGAGUCCAGGUUGAUACUUAGGCUCUUUUUGGCCUUUGUCAGAUAAGGUGUUGUCUUUUUCCUGCUGUUGCUUUUAACUCCCUCUGAACCACUGUCCUCUUUCAUUUUAGGUAAGGAGAAUUCGUGUUGCAAACUGCAAUGAACAUAAAUCCUGUUCGGACUGUUUAACAGCCACAGACCCUCACUGCGGUUGGUGCCAUUUGCUACAAAGAGAGAAGGGGAUCCACAUGAAAGA